UGGGGAAUUUUGGACAAUGGGCGAAAGCCUGAUCCAGCAAUGCCGCGUGUGUGAAGAAGGCCUUCGGGUUGUACAGCACUUUUGUCCGGAAAGAAAUGGCUCUGGUUAAUACCUGGGGUCGAUGACGGUACCGGAAGAAUAAGGACCGGCUAACUACGUGCCAGCAGCCGCGGUAAUACGUAGGGUCCAAGCGUUAAUCGGAAUUACUGGGCGUAAAGCGUGCGCAGGCGGUUGUGCAAGACCGAUGUGAAAUCCCCGAGCUUAACUUGGGAAUUGCAUUGGUGACUGCACGGCUAGAGUGUGUCAGAGGGGGGUAGAAUUCCACGUGUAGCAGUGAAAUGCGUAGAGAUGUGGAGGAAUACCGAUGGCGAAGGCAGCCCCCUGGGAUAACACUGACGCUCAUGCACGAAAGCGUGGGGAGCAAACAGG
rnacentral:rRNA from 1 species